rnacentral:lncRNA from 1 species
AAAAACAUUCCCCGACCCAAAGUCCACCUCAUUGCUGCUCUAAUCUCUCACUCUCCUCAUUUCCUUCUCAACAUUAUAACUUGCCGAAAUUUCUAUCGGAGAACUCGCCGAAAAUGGUGGAGAAUCUUCAUAUUUGUCACCUCGCAGUUUCUCUUCCCGUUUCUCUAUAUCUACACAUAUUUAUACACAGAUCUGGAGAAAUAUAUACAAGAGGUCAAAGAUCCAAAUAUUUUGGUUCGGGAUUUUACUGGAUCUUGUCAUGAAUAUAUUUUUCUGGCGAGUUAUUAUUUUAUUUAUCACAUCCAGAGACGAAAGAGAUAGUUAAAACUCCGACCAUCUAUUUUUUUAUAGCUCUGGCGAACCUCCGACGACUUCUGACGCUAUACUGUUGCCUCAUCCUUUGUUUCUUAUGUUUCUCACUAACAAGUGAACUUGCAUAAUUAGGGGGAGAUUUUUUUAUUUGGUACACUGAUCAUCUUUAUAUAUUUUUCCACUCAAUAGAAAGGGCUCUUUUAGAAUUGGGAUGUGAUGUUCAUCCUCAUGAAGCUCUAUUUCUUUUUCAUUUAAGGUAUCGUUCUUGUAUAGGCUAAAUUUGGCUCAUAACGUCCCCACGCCAGGUGAGCACGUCCCCAUAAUAAGGUCGCUCCAAGUAAGAGUGCGGCCCAAAUCAGUAAAGAAGGAACAACGUCGUUUAGUACCUGCCCCUUUUACUGAGUGGAAGCCACCAACCUUUGUACUUUUUUUACUUUCAUUUAUUUAUUGGUUCGAGGAGAUUUCCUACGAUAAAAAGGAAACAUUCCCUUUGUAAAAGGGGAUCAUGAUUAUUCUCGGAUAAUACAAUCUCUAUUUCUAUUUCUCUCUA